ensembl:snRNA U6 U6 spliceosomal RNA
GUGCUCACGUUGGCAGCAUAUGUACAAAAUUGGAAUGAUACAGAGAUUAGCAUGGCUCCUGUGCAAGGAUGACACAAAUUCCAAAGCAUUCCAUAUAAAA